rfam:Triticum aestivum genome assembly, contig: Triticum_aestivum_CS42_TGACv1_scaffold_195054_3AL
AUGGUACUCCCUCCGUCACAGAAUUCUUGUCUUAGAUUUAUCUAAAUACGGAUGUAUCAAGUCAUGUUUUAGUAUUAGAUACAUCCGUAUCUAGACUAAUCUAAGACAAAAUUUUUAGGAUGAAGGGAGUAUGAU